UACGUAGGGACCAAGCGUUGUUCGGAUUUACUGGGCGUAAAGAGCGCGCAGGCGGCUGGUCAAGUCCGAUGUGAAAUCUCCCGGCUUAACUGGGAAACUGCAUCGGAAACUGAUCGGCUUGAAGGUGGGAGAGGGUAGUGGAAUUCCCGGUGUAGUGGUGAAAUGCGUAGAUAUCGGGAGGAACACCAGUGGCGAAGGCGACUACCUGGCCCAUUCUUGACGCUGAGGCGCGAAAGCUAGGGGAGCGAACGGG
rnacentral:rRNA from 1 species